UUUGCCUCAGGUCGGAGACCCCAAUUAACUCUGUGCUAAUUAGCAGAAUGCCCUCUGCAAUGAUUGAUGGCUUUCUCUUGGUGGUGGUUAGGUACACUCAGGUGAAGGGGACUUCCCACUGCGGCUGACGAUGACACUAGAUGGCAGUGGCUGCAUUUGAAAGGCAGUUGGAGAAACAAGCCUCUCUCCACUCUGGGCGACGAGGCUGUCAGACUGUAUCGGGCAUAGGGAACUGUAUGAACUACCACAUCGCAAUCGCUCGACAACUGUUUCGGAACAAAGUGUGAAGCAGCAGCAGCAGCCGCAGCAGUGUUUCGGAAAAGCGCUGCAUGCCCAUGCUGCAAAAAUCUGACUGCACGUGCACGCUGCGAGCAUAAGCUGCGCUCCAUUCAUAAAAGCGCAAGCCGUGUUAUGAUGGAAGCUGAUUGGCUGAGGCCUACACUACGCUGUGAUUAGUGGUCUGCUCCGCAGCCAAUGAGAGUGAAGCGGAGCUCGCUGUCUCAGAGCAGCGUCGGGAGAGGAGUAGAGGGCGCCGACAGGCUGCACACUGAACCCCGGCACCAUCACACAGUGCACUGGGAGCCAGUGGUCAGCAGUUUGCCUCCAGAGCACCUCGGCUGAUGUUGCACAGAGAAAAUAGAGAGAAAGAGAGAGAGAGAGAGAGGUUAUUUGGGCUGCUGCCUGAACUGAAUCAUCUGAAUUGGUGCACAGCAGAGUAGGAAAAACUGCAGCAUAAAGGUCCACAUUUUGCAUUUUAACUUUUAAAUUAAAAUGUACUAUACUAUAUCAGCCCUAAUUCAUUUUACGCAGUUACUUUUUAACCUCUAUCUUAAAUUCCUGGUAAUCAAACAGAUCUUGCUGUUCCUUAAUGACUCAUUGAUGAAAAUUUGUUCUACUCUAGUUUGGCCCUGUGUUGUGCAGUCUGGACUGAAACUUUUCAUAAGUUAAGGUCCAUCAUUCCAGUAUACACUGUAACACCGCUCCACAGAUCAAUGCUGGGGGGCUUCAUACUCCUCUAGACAGGGCCUGUUUUUUUUUGCUCCAAAAAGUCCUAUGCUAUCGGCACUACUAGUUUAUAGGGACUAAACAAGCAAUGAGUGUUCAUUUGCACAUCUGUGUCAUCAGUGGGUGCAAUGUAAGGCAGCAAAAUGCAUUCUUUAGAAGCUGUGAUUCAAAACCAAUGUAUUGGUUUCUGUGACUUGGCAAAAAUAGUAACUUUUACGAAUUUCAUGUUUGUUAAUGACCAAACAUUGUCAUUAACAUGAAAAGAUUUAAUUCUCUACUGCCCUGCUGCAUGCACUGGAUGAUCAUAUUGAUGUGCACAUCAAGGGCAAUAAAAUGAUGUAAAAAAAGCAUAUAUUUUCAUAAAAGUAUCUAGAUUAUGACUUAUGUUUGGAUCAAAUCCACCUGAUAUGCAUUGUUCAACCUCAUCUGUUUAACUAUAAACUUUAAACCAUCAAAGCUAUCAUUUACUUUUCAAUGUUGUAGGUUCCUUUACAAGUUUAAACAGAAACUCAUUGCAUUCACUUAAUGCAAUGCCAAAUAAACGGUUAGACCAGGGUGUAUCUCUUAUAUCUUACUCUCUUUACCUUAGAAGACAGGCUACCUUUAUAAUACACAGUGAAAUAAGGCUGUAUGAUACGGACAGAAAUGUGAUGUAUGAUAACUUUGUAGGAUCCCAGUAUCAUUGUGAAAAGUGAUAAAUGAAAAAUAAAAUUUUGUUUAAGCUGCGAUUGUGAGGCCGGUUGAAUGUACUGCCAACUUGUCUAAAUUGCCUUCAGAGACGACUUAUGGUGGAGAAAUGAACAUUCAAUUCACAGGCAACAGCUCUGGUGAACAUUCCUGCAGUCAGAAUGCCAAUACAUCUGUGGUAUUGUGCUUUGUGAAAAAACUGCACAUUUUAGAUUGCACCUUUUUAUUGUGGCCAGCCCAAGCUACACCUGUGUAAUAAUCACUGUGUCUAAUUAGCAUCUUGAUAUGCCACACCUGUGACUGGUGGAUGGUUUCUCUCAGGAGAAGUGCACACUAACACAGAUUUAGACCCAAUUGUGAAAGAAGUCUUAGAUCUUUGAGUUCAGCUCAAGAAAAGUGGGAGCAAAAUCAAGUGUUGCGUUUAUAUUUUUGUUCAGUGCACAUUGUGAUCACCUAAAUCACAGCAUAUCAGUCACAUUGUAAAUUGUCUCAUAUAAAUACUUUCUUCUUUUUUUGUGGCCCACCCCCACCCCCCUCAGGUGGACAAAAAACAGCAUUGCCAGAUAUUGGAAUAUUUAAAAGUCGUAACACCUGUGUCAUAAUACAUAUUGUACCGAGUCUUUAUUGUCAUAUAUAUUUGAUCAUUCAAACAAGCAAUGUGAGUUGACACCUAAGCGUACAUUUUUUUAAUCAUACAUCUUAACUCUUUCGACUUAAAAUAUGUGCCAGGAUGCUGUUUUAUGUCUGUAAUGCACUUAUCCAAUCUUCUCCAAGCUAAGAUGUUUCAGCUUCAGUUUCAUGCGAAUGAUUAAGAAUUGACAUUGUUAACCUUGUCCCAAUAUAUAAGUAUAUAAGAAACGUAUGUUGCUAUGUUAAAAAAAUGAUAUCUUGUCCAUUUACUGUAGUCACGGGGAUCUAUCUUACACCCUGCACAAGAUGCGUUACACCCCACGAACAGCCUAUUUUCAUGCCUUGUGCCUUCGCUGUUAAAAUAGCAAUGCAGUUUACGAAUAUAUCUACGCCGCUGGAAAUAAGGUGUGUUCAGGUAAAUUUCUGGCAUAUUGCUAUCUUGGUGGCGGAAAACACAAGUGCACCACUGACUGAUUAAAAACCCUGAUAGUCCAACCCACAGUUACCUGUCGGAUGUUCAUACCUAUCUUAGCUACGCAGGUGCACUCAGCAUACACCCCCGCGAUUUCUAUCAACAAUAAACAGAAUAUAAAAUAAAAUAGUGUUGCUGUUCCUGUAAAUGACAUAGCUGUGCAUCUUUAGAGCGUAAACAUGCAGGUCAGUUUGCUUUGCUGAGACUCUUAGAAGCGCAAUGCGCUGUUAAGUUACCAGCAUGUCAAAUAAAGCAAGUCAGAGCGCAGUUGGCUGUUAAAGGGAAUAUCAAGUAACACUCUGAUUGGUUUAUUUCACAUUAUGCCCAAAACACAUCCAUGAUUAAUAUGGAGAAUUGAUACAUGAUUUUCGCACAUUUUGAGCCACACAAUGUAUAUUUUUGUUUCUGUAAUCACAAAACCAAAGCCAUACUGACACCCUUAAACCAAACUGCAUGAUGGGUGUUUGAUAGCUCACCUAUAGAUAGCCAAAAUAGGGCCCAUAAUGUCUGCAUGUCUGUGGUGUGUAUGCAUUUUAGAUACAUUUAGAUCUCUAGAUAAAUUGUUUGUUACUUGACAAAAAGCCAGAUAAGAUUCUUUAUUAUAAUGUACAUUUCCAUUAGCUGCCCAUGUGUUCUCUGUCUCUGAAAGAACUUGGGAGUUGUCUGCAUACUGAAUAAGACACGUAAAUCAAAGCCAUUUUCUGUCCUUGGCUGCUUGACUUCAUCUCUACAGCUUCAUUUUAUUCAUUAAACUGCUGAGAAACAGCAGCAAAAAAGGCCGGCAGUUUGAUUAAUGAACCAAUCAAACGUAUUUGCCAGCUAUCAGUGUGAAAUGACAAAUUGAUUGAUUGUUUCUGGACAAGGGGUACUUUGUCUGGACACUCUGGGAAAAUGCUUUAUGUAAGCAAGCUUUUUUUAUUUCAUUUUCUAGCUGACGUAUGAAAUGUCCAUGGAAUGUAAUGUAAGGGUGUAAAAUCUAUAUAAUCUGUAGAAUAUCUGUGUGGAAACUAACCCAUUUUUUUCUCUUUUAUAGUUUGUCUUACUGACAGAGUAUGUGGAAUGCAUAAUAAACGGUCAUCAAGUAUGACAAUGGAUUCUUCUGAAACGAUCCUGCUAAGCCUGUGGGAGUUAGGCCUGACCAUAUUUCGGACUCUGAUGAAUUAGAAUUCCUCUUGGCUUAUCCUAAUGGCAUCUGACCGGGCUUUCUCUCGCCAUGCUGCGUUACGACUACGGCUGAGUGUCCUCGCUCCGUCGCCGCUGCCCCCCUCCCCCUCACCCCAGAUGACCCAAGCCUGUGUAGAUGAGGCAUCCAGCCCAGCGUCCAGGGAUUUACCCGAGUGUGUCUGAAGGCAGAAGACAGCUGUGUAGUGGGCUCUGCUAACAUAAUGCAGGUACUUGGCUUUGUAGAACACAGAGGGUUGCACAUGAAUGCACUGUGUAAUGCACACGACCUCUGCGAGUAUGUGGGAGACGGCGUGAGACUGUCUGGCUUGCGGUCGCUCUCUCUCUCACUAUCCGUCGCAUGACAAACCGUGAUGUUUCUGUUCACCCCGGCUCUCUGAGCUUCUCCAGAGGCGCUGGCCUGAGAGAGCUAAGCAGCUGAAGCGUGAAGAAAAGAGGAGAACACACGAGGGGCUAAAGAUCACUCCAGCGUCUCAGGCCUGUACAAGCAGCUCGUACCGCUAUUACCCUGCAGACUUAUAAUAGCCACUGAUUCUCUCACUUGGAGUAAUACGUUCACUAAUGCCCAUCUGCGUUCAUGUGGAAAGCUUUCAACUGAUGUAGUGUGAAAGUUCAUUUAAGGCAGACCAGCUUGUGAAAUACUGUGCAGGCCUGCUGUUUAUCCUGCCUGCUCCUCCUCCAGCAUCCUCAUCUCACUGUGGCUCUGUUUAUAUUAGGUGUUCACUUCACUUUUUCAGCAUGUUUUUACAAGACAAAGAGUCAUUCAAAAAAAGGUUAGUAGCAUUGUGAAGUCAUUAUUUGCCAUAGAUUAGAUUUACAUUCAUACCAUUUAGUAGUCAAUAAAAAAGGGGGGAAUUCUGGGACGAUGCCGAUAUCUGUCAUUACACAUGUAUAUAUCUGCCAAU